AUGGGGCUGGAAUUCGUCGCAGGGAUGUACAGCAGUGGUGGCACCACUGGCUACGUGCCAUCGGUCAAGGGCCGAUUCAGGAUCUCCAGAGACAACGGGCAGAGCUCGGCGGCCGUGACCCUGCUGGAGUGCGGGGGGGACCUCCAGCCCCCCGGGAGUUCCCUGGGCCUCCUCUGCCAAGGGUCUGGGUUCAAUUUUGGAAGCUACGACAUGUUCUGGAUCCGGCAGAGACCCGGGCAGGGGCUGGAGUUCAUUGCAGGAAUCUGGAACACUGGUGGUAGCACCUGGUACGCGCCGUUGGUCAAGGGCCGGUUCACGAUCUCCAGGGACAACGGACAGAGCUCGGUGACGCUGACCAUGAACAACCUCAAGGACGAGGAUUCCGGAUCCUAUUACUGCGCCAAAUGUUACACCAAUGAUUUCAGCGGGGUUCACUUGUGA